rnacentral:rRNA from 1 species
AACGAACGCUGGCGGCAUGCCUAACACAUGCAAGUCGAACGAGACCUUCGGGUCUAGUGGCGCACGGGUGCGUAACGCGUGGGAACCUGCCCUUAGGUUCGGAAUAACUCCCCGAAAGGGGUGCUAAUACCGGAUAAUGUCUUCGGACCAAAGAUUUAUCGCCUUUGGAUGGGCCCGCGUUGGAUUAGCUAGUUGGUAGGGUAAAAGCCUACCAAGGCGAGGAUCCAUAGCUGGUCUGAGAGGAUGAUCAGCCACACUGGGACUGAGACACGGCCCAGACUCCUACGGGAGGCAGCAGUGGGGAAUAUUGGACAAUGGGCGAAAGCCUGAUCCAGCAAUGCGGCGUGAGUGAUGAAGGCCUUAGGGUUGUAAAGCUCUUUUACCCGGGAUGAUAAUGACAGUACCGGGAGAAUAAGCGCCGGCUAACUCCGUG